GUUAAAAUACUUAUCGAAAGUCAUAUGUUUUGAAAACAUAUUCAAGAGGUUUAAAUCCUCUAUUUAACU
rnacentral:tRNA from 1 species